GACGAACGCUGGCGGCGUGCUUAACACAUGCAAGUCGAGCGGAGCGGCGAACGGGUGAGUAACGCGUGAGUAACUGCCCCCCUCCCCGGGAUAACAGUUGGAAACGGCUGCUAAUACCGGAUCGUGGGGGAUGACUCGGGUCCUAUCAGCUUGUUGGCGGGGUAGUGGCCUACCAAGGCGACGACGUGUAGCCGGCCUGGGAGGCCGACCGGCCACAUUGGGCGCAGAUACGGCCCAAACUCCUACGGGAGGCAGCAGUGGGGAAGAGUGCACGAUGGGGGAAACCAUGAUGCAGCAACGCCGCGUGCGGGAUGACGGCCUUCGGGUUGUAAACCGCAUUCAGCCAUGACGCGGUAGUGGGAGAAGAAGCACCGGCUAACUACGUGCCAGCCGCCGCGGUAAUUC
rnacentral:rRNA from 1 species